rnacentral:rRNA from 1 species
CCUACGGGGUGCUGCAGUGGGGAAUAUUGGACAAUGGGCGAAAGCCUGAUCCAGCCAUGCCGCGUGUGUGAAGAAGGCCUUCGGGUUGUAAGGCACUUUCAGUGGGGAAGAAAGCCUUGGGGCUAAUACCCUCGAGGAAGGACAUCACCCACAGAAGAAGCACCGGCUAACUCCGUGCCAGCAGCCGCGGUAAUACGGAGGGUGCGAGCGUUAAUCGGAAUUACUGGGCGUAAAGCGCGCGUAGGCGGUCUGAUAAGCCGGUUGUGAAAGCCCCGGGCUCAACCUGGGAACGGCAUCCGGAACUGUCAGGCUAGAGUGCAGGAGAGGAAGGUAGAAUUCCCGGUGUAGCGGUGAAAUGCGUAGAGAUCGGGAGGAAUACCAGUGGCGAAGGCGGCCUUCUGGACUGACACUGACGCUGAGGUGCGAAAGCGUGGGUAGCAAACAGGAUUAGAUACCCCAGUAGUC